ensembl:snoRNA
AGAUCAUUUCAAAGAGGGCUCACAGGGCUGUGAAACCAUGAGCUCUUAACGCUAUGACCAAAGACUGAAGUUCUCUAUAGGAUGCCAUAGCACUCAAUGGUGCUGUUUUCCUGAAGAGAUAUAAGG